rnacentral:misc_RNA from 1 species
AAAAUGCGAUAAGUAAUGUGAAUUGUAGAAUUCAGUGAAUCAUCGAAUCUUUGAACGCACAUUGCGCCCGCCAGUAUUCUGGCGGGCAUGCCUGUUCGAGCGUCAUUUCAACCCUCAAGCCCCGGGUUUGGUGUUGGGGAUCGGGCUGCGGUUCUACCGCGUCCCGGCCCCGAAAUCUAGUGGCGGUCUCGCUGCAGCCUCCAUUGCGUAGUAGCUAACACCUCGCAACUGGAACGCGGCGCGGCCAAGCCGUUAAACCCCCAACUUCUGAAUGUUGACCUCGGAUCAGGUAGGAAUACCCGCUGAACUUAAGC